rnacentral:rRNA from 1 species
GUCUAUGGCCAUACCACCCUGAACACGCCCGAUCUCAUCUGAUCUCGGAAGCUAAGCAGGGUUGGGCCCGGUUAGUAUUUGGAUGAGAGAGAGGGAAAGAGGAAGACAGACACU